rnacentral:lncRNA from 1 species
UGGCCCUCAAUAAUGACGACUUCAGUAUGUAUACUAAAGAAAUUUAUCUUGUUGAACUUACUUUAAAUAAAGCUAAUACUAGCCAUGACUACUGCCCUUUCCUUUCCUCGAUCUUUAUCAUUAACGGGAAGCUUAAUACAAAAAUUUAUGAUAAAAGAGAUGAUUUUUCAUUUCCUUAUUCGUUAAUUAUCCAUUUUUAGAUGGUAAAGUUCCC